GUUGGGCUCCUCAGGUCAAACGGUGUCCUCAGACUCUUCCUUUCUGCCUUCUCGGCUCUUGAUUCUGAGAACAGAAUGUGCCCCGCCUCAGGGGCGCCUGCUGGCUUCUUCACCUUACAACAUCGCAUGCUAACGAUCGCAGUGUGCAUCCUUUGCUGCACAGACCAGAGCCUUGGCCUGAUGGGCUCGCUGGGACAUUCUGGAUGCCCCAGGCAGGGUCUGGACAUUGCAGAAGUUGGAUGGUCCUGUAGGUGACAUCCAGGCAGGAAUCUGGGGGUCCUUGGCAGGUGAGUCGUGGCCCCUUGGGAAGGCGUGUGCCACUGACUGUCUCAUCUCCCCAGGCCAGGGGUGCAGAAUCCGGGGCAGGGCCUGUGCUUUCCCAGGAGGGGUGGUGCUCUUCAGGGAAUAUGGGCCCCCUUAGGGGUGAGAACAGUGCUAUGAUUGUGAGGGGAAUCGCUCAGUGGGGUCCAG
rnacentral:lncRNA from 1 species